rnacentral:rRNA from 1 species
UUGGUGUGAAUUGCAGAAUCCCGUGAACCAUCGAGUCUUUGAACGCAAGUUGCGCCUGAAGCCAUUAGGCUGAAGGCACGUCUGCCUGGGCGUCACGC